GGCCCGCCCGCCGGGGCCCCUCACGCCGGGGCUGCUCCGCCGGGACCGCUCGGGCCGCUGGUCGGUCCGGGGAUUAUCAGCGAUCCCGGACCGAGCUCGCCGUGCCGGUGUCACACACAGGACUGCAGGAAUUCCAGUCUCCACGUGAACGGCGCUUCCUCGCUGCAGGGAACAAGCCGGGUGCCUGGUCAGCAGCAGCAGGGAUGAGAUCUCUUUCCAGCCUAGGAAAGAGAUGAUAUCCUGGUGUUCAAAUCAGGAUUUCCUGGCUUUGUGCUGGUGUGUAGAGAUUGCAUCGCCACCCGGAGAGAGAGGAGGGAAUUUCUGGGAAAUGCAUUGUUUCAAAGAAAUCACACAAAAUUGAUGUUGUUUGCAUGUCCCACUUUGUAGGUGAAGUGCUGAUAAACAGUGAAAAUUCACUGCUGGCUGCAAUAGAGCCACCAUAGAAAAUAGAUUCACUUGUAAGUAAAAACACCAUUUUAGUAAGUAAUAAAAUAAAAUAAAAUAAAAUAAAAUAAAAUAAAAUAAAAU